rnacentral:sRNA from 1 species
UCUGCGUCCCGACUUAAGUGGAACUCCUUUUUUUGCAUGGCAAAAGCUUUGGCAAAAAAGAGUGGGAACGGAAGGCGGAAAAGACG